GCCAGGCUAGCUCAGUUGGUAGAGCAUGAGCCUCUUAAUCUCAUAGUCGUGGGUUUGAGCCCCACGUCAGGUG